CCAGCUGGAAUUUGCUUAUCAAUUGGUGAUGAUGCAGGUGCUGGUGCUGGUGCUGGUGCUGGACUUUGCUUAUCGACUGGUGGUGAAGGAGCACUAGCAUUUUGAGUGCGAGCACCAUUUGCAGGCUGACUGUUUGCACUGCUGGCAGGCACCCCACUGCCAAAGAGAUAACCUAAGGAACUCUGACCACCACCAGCACUGACCCCACGACCCAUUUCCCGUCUGUUUGGAGUGGCUAAAC
rnacentral:lncRNA from 1 species